UCUCUUGGAAUAAGGCCAGCAGAUAAGGAA
rnacentral:piRNA from 1 species